CCUACGGGUGGCAGCAGUGGGGAAUCUUGGGCAAUGGAGGCAACUCUGACCCAGCAACGCCGCGUGAAUGAUGGAGGUUCUCGGAUUGUUAAGUUCCUUUCUUAGGGAAGCAGAUAGUGACGGUACCAUAGGAAUAAGCAUAGGCUAAUUACGUCCCAGCAGCCGCGGCAAUACGUCGGAGGCAAGCGUCGUCCGGAGUGACUGGUCGUAAAGGGUGCGUAGGUGGUUUGACAAGUUAGUGGCGAAACUCCGGGGCUCAACUUCGGAACUACUACUAAAACUGUUGGACUUGAGUGCAGGAGGGGCAAUAGGAAUUCCUGGUGUAGCGGUGAAAUGCGUAGAUAUUAGGAGGAACACCAGUGGCGAAGGCGGAUUGCUAGACUGUAACUGACACUGAGGCACGAAAGCGUGGGGAGCAAACAGGAUUAGAUACCCCGGUAGUC
rnacentral:rRNA from 1 species